GGCUGGUCCGAAGGUAGUGAGUUAUCUCACUUGAUUGUUCACAGUCAGUUACAGAUUGAACUCCUUGUUCUACUACUUUCCCCGCUCCUCACUACUGCACUUGACUAGUCUUAA
rnacentral:Y_RNA from 1 species